rnacentral:rRNA from 1 species
AGAGUUUGAUCAUGGCUCAGAACGAACGCUGGCGGCAUGCCUAACACAUGCAAGUCGAACGAACCCUUCGGGGUUAGUGGCGCACGGGUGCGUAACGCGUGGGAAUCUACCCUUAGGUUCGGAAUAACUCAGAGAAAUUUGAGCUAAUACCGGAUGAUGACGUAAGUCCAAAGAUUUAUCGCCUAAGGAUGAGCCCGCGUAGGAUUAGCUAGUUGGUGUGGUAAAGGCGCACCAAGGCGACGAUCCUUAGCUGGUCUGAGAGGAUGAUCAGCCACACUGGGACUGAGACACGGCCCAGACUCCUACGGGAGGCAGCAGUGGGGAAUAUUGGACAAUGGGCGAAAGCCUGAUCCAGCAAUGCCGCGUGAGUGAUGAAGGCCUUAGGGUUGUAAAGCUCUUUUACCCGGGAUGAUAAUGACAGUACCGGGAGAAUAAGCUCCGGCUAACUCCGUGCCAGCAGCCGCGGUAAUACGGAGGGAGCUAGCGUUGUUCGGAAUUACUGGGCGUAAAGCGUACGUAGGCGGCUUUGUAAGUAAGAGGUGAAAGCCUGGAGCUCAACUCCAGAACUGCCUUUUAGACUGCAUCGCUUGAAUCCAGGAGAGGUGAGUGGAAUUCCGAGUGUAGAGGUGAAAUUCGUAGAUAUUCGGAAGAACACCAGUGGCGAAGGCGGCUCACUGGACUGGUAUUGACGCUGAGGUACGAAAGCGUGGGGAGCAAACAGGAUUAGAUACCCCGGUAGUCC